rnacentral:rRNA from 1 species
UUUAAUAAAAUUUUAUUAUAAAAUUAUUUAUUAAAAUUAAUUAUAUAAAAAGUAUUUUUUUUGUUUGUGUAAUUUUUAGUGAUUAAAUUAUUUUGGUUAUAGAAAAGUUGUACUGUGAGGGUAAAAUAAUAAUAUAAAAUAAGUUAAAUUUAUUUUUUGUACCUUGUGUAUCAGGGUUAAUUAAGGAUAAAUUAAUAAAUUUAAUUAUCUUGAUUUCAUUAGAGUUAAUAAAUUAAUUAAAUUAUUGUUUUAUAAAUAUUUAAAAUAAUUUAUUAGAAGUGAAAUGCUAUUCGUUUAUGAGGAUAUCUAGUUUUCUGGGAAAUAAAUUGAAUUUACAUGUUUAUAUCUUAUUUAAUAUAUUUUAUUUAAUAUGAUUGUUAAAGGAGAUAACUUCUUUAAUAUAAAUUUAUAAGAUUAAUUUAUUUUAAAAUUUUAUGAAUUUAAAAAUGGUUAUUAAUAUAAAUUUAUUAUAAUUUAAAUUUAUUAAUUUAUUUAUUUAGAAUAUCUUUAAUAUUUUACUAGGAAUUUUUAAUUAAUUUAUAAUUAAUUUUUAUAAUGAUUAAAUUAGUAUAAAUAUUUAUAAAUUGAAUUUUAGGAACUAGGCAAUAUAUUUUAUUCGCCUGUUUAUCAAAAACAUCUUUUCUUGAUUUUUUAUACGAAAUAUAACCUGCCCAAUGAUGAUUAAAUUAAAUGGCCGCGGUAUAUUGACCGUGCAAAGGUAGCAUAAUAAUUAGUCUUUUAAUUAAAGGCUAGAAUGAAUGGUUGAGCGAAAUAAAAUCUAUCUUGGAUUUAUAGAUUUGAAUUUAAUUAUUAAGUUAAAAAGCUUAAAUUUAUUUAUGGGACGAUAAGACCCUAUAGAAUUUAAUAAUUUUGGUUUAUAAGUUGGUUUGAAAAUUAUUUAAUUUAUAAAAUUAUUUUAUUGGGGUGAUAAUAAGAUAUAAAUAACUCUUGUUUUAUUAUAAAUAUAUAUAUAUAAAUUAUUGAUCCACUAUUAUUGAUUAUAAGAUAAAAUUACCUUAGGGAUAACAGCAUAAUCUUUUUUGAGAGUUCAAAUUGACAAAAGGGGUUGUGACCUCGAUGUUGGAUUAGGAAUAGAUUUUUGUGAAGAUGCUUAUAAAUCUAGGUCUGUUCGACCUUUAAUUUCUUACAUGAUCUGAGUUCAAACCGGUGUGAGCCAGGUUGGUUUCUAUCUAUAAAAUAAUAAAUAAUAUUUUAGUACGAAAGGACCAAAUAUUUAAAAUAAUUUUUAUUAUUUGAUUUUAAUUAAAUAU